UCAUAUACUACUAUUGUGCUAAAUAUUUUAUUUUGUACUAUUAGGAUCUGCAACUGGAAUAUGGACAAGGACACCAAGGUGGUUACUUUUUAGGUGCAAACAAGAGUCUUCUCAAGUCUGUUGAAGAAGAAUUGCAUCAGCGAGGACACGUCGCACAUUUAGAAGAUGAUGAAGGAGAUGAUGAUGAAUCUAAACACUCAA
rnacentral:lncRNA from 1 species